UACGUAGGGUGCGAGCGUUGUCCGGAAUUACUGGGCGUAAAGAGCUCGUAGGCGGUUUGUCGCGUCGUCUGUGAAAUCCCGCAGCUCAACUGCGGGCUUGCAGGCGAUACGGGCAGACUCGAGUACUGCAGGGGAGACUGGAAUUCCUGGUGUAGCGGUGAAAUGCGCAGAUAUCAGGAGGAACACCGGUGGCGAAGGCGGGUCUCUGGGCAGUAACUGACGCUGAGGAGCGAAAGCGUGGGUAGCGAACAGG
rnacentral:rRNA from 1 species